rnacentral:rRNA from 1 species
UACGGAGGGAGCAAGCGUUGUUCGGAAUUACUGGGUGUAAAGGGCGUGUAGGCGUCUUUUAAGUCAGACGUGAAAUCUUUCGGCUCAACCGGAAACCUGCGUUUGAAACUGGAAGGCUUGAGUCAUGGAGAGGAAAGUGGAAUUCCUGGUGUAGCGGUGAAAUGCGUAGAUAUCAGGAAGAACACCAGUGGCGAAGGCGACUUUCUGGCCAUGUACUGACGCUGAGGCGCGAAAGCCAGGGGAGCGAACGGGAUUAGAUACCCCCGUA